UUAUUCUUCUGCUUUCGCGGAAUUACGAGAAGCCUAUACAACAUACCUGUUGCAAACUUCAAAAUCUCCAUUUUCAUCAUCUGACAUCAUGCCGAGGCCCUCGGGACCUCAACCAAAAGCAAAAAUACGUCUUAUUACUUCAUUCAAACUUGCUCAUGAUAUAAAAACACUAUCAUAAACAACAAAAUCAUCAAAUUUCCACGGAUUGAAGCCUAAGUAAAACUAAAACUUCCGAAACUUGCAUUUGAUCCAAAACCCGACCUAAGCACCUACGAAUGAUCGGAAAAUUUAGAUGCAUAUCCAAAAUCACCUAACGGAGGUACUGCAACUGUCGGAAUUCAAUUUUGACCCCCGAAUCAAAAUCUCACCUAUCAACCGAACUUCGCCAAAUUUCUAACUUAGCUAAUUCACGCCUAAUUCUACACUGGACCUCCAAAUUCACUUCUGAUUUCGCUCCUAAGUCAUAAAUCACCAUCCGAAACUGGUCGAAUCAUCGAAAAUCUAUUCCGAGCCCUCUAACCUAUAAGUCAACGCUCGGUUGAUUUUUUCCAAACUAACCUUCUCAUAAAGAGACUAAUUGUCC
rnacentral:lncRNA from 1 species